GGUCCUCAGUCGCUGAAACCAAGACUGGACCCCGACAUCAGAGACGAUGGAAGGAAGCCACGUUAGAAAGCACAGGCUCCCGGCCAGUGUCCUACACUUGUCCUCCUGGUGCUUCAGCGUGGAGGAGCCGGGAAAGAUCUGCAGGAAAUGGCAGGUGUGGCAGGGCCACGCGUGUCACCGGACUGAUUUCCCUAUCUGGGCCCUGGAGCUGGAGGAACUGAAGAGAGGAAAGUUCCAUUUCCAGUGGCUCGCAGAGCCGAAGGCAACGGCUCGGCUGUGUGAAGCCCAAUGCUGCCCUCUGUUGUCCAUACUUCGUAACCAGCCUUGGAAGGCAGGGACUGAGAAUCCCUCAGCCUUCUCUCUAAGCCUGCCUGAGGAAAAACAGUAAGGCUAUUUCUUCCUCAGAGAUCUUGAAGAGAUGGGAACGUCUUCAUGAAGUCAGCAACAGCUCUGUCCAGCCGGCACCUGGAUGCUCUACAUGGUUCCCUCAGAGGCAGAACUGCUCCUGCCGUGUAAUGCCUGGGGUCUUCAUCUGAGCCAAGUUCUUUUUCUGAGCCCAAUUCCUACCUCUUUAUUUAUUUUUGUUUGUUUAAUGUACAUGAGUGCUUUUGCCUGUGUGUAUGUGUGUGCUCCAUGUGUGUGCCUGGUGACCUCAAAGGUCAGAAGAUUGGCUCCCCUGGAACUGGAACUGGAGUUGCUACAGCUUCACCCAGGACAGAGAUCAAAAGGCCAGAAAAGUCGACUGAGCUCCUACUCUGUUCAUCUUGGGCUAAGGCGGGGAGUCUGUGAACUGAGAACCCCCCCCCCCACACACACACCCUAGUGAAGUUGAGGGUGGAGGAGACAAGGGGCCACUAUGGCAUUGAUGAGAAGAAAGGGGCAUGGGACAGACUGAGUGGUGAUUCAGGAAAGUCUCCAGGAAAGGGCUCCAUUCCUAAUCAGUACCCCCCCCUCAGUUCUCUACCAAAGCCUCCACCUCCUCCUCCUCCUCCUCCAGAGACACAGAUCAUCUCUCCAUGGCAAAGUGAUGCCAUGCACCAGAAGUCUCAGAUGGUCGUGACCUUCAGAAAGAAGCUUCUGGAAUGCAGAUUCUGCUUCAGUCCUCUGGUUAGGUUUUCACUGUUACCUAUACCAUUCUAUUUCUCUGUACCAGUCCCUAGCCUAGGGUUGACCUUUGUCUAAAUAUGUUGCCCCCAGUAAGGUGAGAUGUCCAGGCUUUGAAUUCUGACUUUCCUCAGAUCUCAGUGAAACCUGAAAAGACUGCUGAUUCAUCUAUAGUUUCCAAAGUUUUCAGGUAAAACAUAGUCCCCAGUGCAUACUGGGAUGCUGACCAUAAUGAUGAGAUUCUCAUAAAAAUGAGAAUCCAGCCAGGCAUGAUGGCAAAUGCCUUAAUCCCAGCUCUCAGGGAGGUAGAGGCAGGUGGAUCUCUAUGGGUUUGAUGCCAGCCUGUUCUACAAAAUGAGUCCAGGAAAGCCAAGGCUGCACAGAGAAACCCUGCCUGGAAAAAAAAACCAGAGUGAGGCACACAUACAGAAAAAGAGAGAGAAUUCUCCAAACAAGGGAAACCCAACCAAUGGCAACUUUCUGGUCCAAAUUCCGAGUACAUUUCAGCAGAGAAAGCAUUAGAAAGCACAGAUCUAGGAGCAUGAGGGCUGCUCUCUGCCAUGGGACCCAAACAUCCACGCGGGAAUUCAAACAGCUUUCUACUGCUUUGUGAUGCUGUAGCACAUGCUUGUCAGCUACCUUGGUCUCCAGGGCCAGAUCAUCCAGCUUCAGGCUCUGGCUCCCGCACUGCAGCUGGUUGUAUCACUUAGGCCUAUUCCCUGAAGGGAGGCACACUGCCUGUGCCUCAGUUUCCUCACUGGGACUUAAGAAACACACCACACACAGCACACACACACACUCAUUCUUCCUCCCCACCCCUCUUUCCCUUUAUCUCUUCCUCUGGGUUUAGAUCCUGAACUUGAAUAAGCUGAAGUUAUUUCCUUUUGUAAACAGCUACGAAUGAGUCCUAGAAUUCAUUGAUCAUUUCCUACACAAGGGCCCCCUGUUACGGCUUCGUCCCUUUCUGUUUAACUUUCAGUUACAGUCCUUCAGGGUGCCUACUUUGAGUCCCAUUUUCCUGGUGGAGAAACUGAGAUCCACAGAUGUGUUCGCAGAGAGCAAUGUGCCCGUUCAGGGAUGGAGUAAAGCUUCACCAGAAGAGAUAACGCUGGGCAGUGGGAAUGACCAGCCCCUCACCUCAGGCUCUCACUGGGGCUGAAGCAGCUGAGUGGAGGUGUGGAGAAAACUGGCCUCCUGGGAACGUCUGACGGUAUCGUCCUGGCAACAGCCCUUGUGGAAAGCCAGUUUCUCCUCACCGUGAUCCGUGGGGGAGUUCAGGGUAUCCUGCAGGCUCAGCUGGGGGAAACUACAGAAAGACAGAACACUCAGGAAAUCAGAACUGAAGACGCGGGUAAGACUGUGGGUGGGUGCCCCCUGCCGGUACUUCCCAGAACCUCGGUUGUGGCAUAGCUGCGUGGCCGCAGAUGGCCAGGCCUGCCUAACCCGGCUUUCUCCCAGUCCUCCGGAGUGCCAGGAGGCCGGGGGGGCUCGAUUGUAGGAGCUUUACCCGGCACCCGCUCCGGGGGUGGUCUCUGACUUCUCUCCCCUAACCUAAGGUGGGGACUACAAUCCCCCGGGUUCGAGUGAAGAGCGGGGAUGGCGCACACGGUAAGUGGCUCAUUCGAAGCUACAACCAGUGGCGGUGGAGGAUCUAACCCUCCUGUGUGUGUGUGUGUGUGUGUGUGUGUGUGUGUGUGUGUGUGUGUGUGUGUGUGUGUGUGUAGGGCGCGGUGUGCUGGGCAACCCUGCCUUGAAAAAGUUCUUCUGCAGCUGUCACUCUUGUGAAGGGGUGGGGGGCAGGGGUGGAUGGGCCAGACACUGUGGGGAGAGCUAGGGUAUGUUCUUAAGGUCAAGCGAAAAUGCAGUGUGAGUUUGGAGCUGGGUUUCAUCCUGCAUUCGCUCUGAGGUCAGCGCCUGUGUGGGAGACUCAAGAAUUAACCCACGCCCUGUCCUGUCCUGACCCGUGUCUCAGGUUGGCUGGGCAAAAUAUACCGUUUGAGGUAGGGGAAGCAGAGAGCUUGUAAGCGUAACCGAUUAUGCUGAAAGAAGCCAAACACAAAAUCCACAUACUUCCUAUUUCGUUCCUGUGAAACUGCCAGGAGCGGUGGCUGCUAAGAGCAGAAGCAGAGUGAACUGCGAAGAGACGUGAUGGAAAUUUGGAGACGGUGUGUUGAAGUUUGGAUGUAAACUGUCCUCCAUAAACUCAUCUGUUUGCACACUUCAUUCCCAGAGGGUGGCGCUGUGUAACCUUUAGUGGGUGGAGCCUUGAUGGAGGAAGUGGGUUGUGGAUGGCGAGCAAGCCUUGAGGUUUUACCCGAGCCCUCUUUCCUGUUCUGAGUUCUGACUGCCAGUCAACAUGAAUAGACUGUUCCCCUCUCCCGUGGCCACACCUUCCCACCGUGAUAGAACGGGUGCCCUCAAAACCGUAAGCCGGGAUAACCCUUCUUUCUGAAGUUGCUUUUGUCAGGUGUUUUGUCCCAGCAAGAAAAGUCACUAAUAUACGAUAGAAAUAUAUAUCCUGUAAAUUCUAAAGAUUUAUCCCAGCGGGGAGCGGUGGCGCACACCUUUAGUCCCAACACACAGGGAGGCAGAGGCAGGCAAAUCACUGUGAAUUCUAGGCCAGCCUGGUCUACAGCGUGAGUCCAGGACAGCCAAGGCUACACAAAAAAACCUUGUCUCAAAAACAAGCAAACAAAAAGAGUGAAAGACGUGUCCUAUAUUUUUAUUAUGGAAACAAUUAUCCAUUCAAAACAUAAUCAAGUUAUGUUCAAACGGUGAACUGUUAUUUAUAAAUU